rnacentral:rRNA from 2 species
CAACUUUCAACAACGGAUCUCUUGGCUCUCGCAUCGAUGAAGAACGCAGCGAAAUGCGAUAAGUAAUGUGAAUUGCAGAUUUUCAGUGAAUCAUCGAAUCUUUGAACGCACCUUGCGCCCCUUGGUAUUCCGAGGGGCAUGCCUGUUUGAGUGUCAU